rnacentral:rRNA from 1 species
ACCAGACUCCUACGGGAGGCAGCAGUGGGGAAUAUUGCACAAUGGGCGCAAGCCUGAUGCAGCCAUGCCGCGUGUAUGAAGAAGGCCUUCGGGUUGUAAAGUACUUUCAGCGGGGAGGAAGGCGAUAAGGUUAAUAACCUUGUCGAUUGACGUUACCCGCAGAAGAAGCACCGGCUAACUCCGUGCCAGCAGCCGCGGUAAUACGGAGGGUGCAAGCGUUAAUCGGGAUUACUGGGCGUAAAGCGCACGCUGGCGGUCUGUCAAGUCGGAGGUGAAAUCCCCUGGCUCAACCUGGGGACUGCUUCCGAAACUGGCAGGCUGGAGUCUUGUAGAGGGGGGUAGGAUUCCAGGUGUAGCGGUGAAAUGCGUAGAGAUCUGGAGGAAUACCGGUGGCGCAGGCGGCCCCCUGGACAAAGACUGACGCUCAGGUGCGAAAGCGUGGGGAGCAAACAGGAUUAGAUACCCGAGUAGAA